GGGCGAGUGGCGGAAUGGCAGACGCGCCGGCCUUAGGAGCCGGUGCCGCGUGAGCGGCGUGAGGGUUCGACCCCCUCCUCACCCACCA
rnacentral:tRNA from 1 species